rnacentral:rRNA from 1 species
AUUGAACGCUGGCGGCAGGCCUAACACAUGCAAGUCGAGCGGAUGAAGGGAGCUUGCUCCUGGAUUCAGCGGCGGACGGGUGAGUAAUGCCUAGGAAUCUGCCUGGUAGUGGGGGAUAACGUCCGGAAACGGGCGCUAAUACCGCAUACGUCCUGAGGGAGAAAGUGGGGGAUCUUCGGACCUCACGCUAUCAGAUGAGCCUAGGUCGGAUUAGCUAGUUGGUGGGGUAAAGGCCUACCAAGGCGACGAUCCGUAACUGGUCUGAGAGGAUGAUCAGUCACACUGGAACUGAGACACGGUCCAGACUCCUACGGGAGGCAGCAGUGGGGAAUAUUGGACAGUGGGCGAAAGCCUGAUCCAGCCAUGCCGCGUGUGUGAAGAAGGUCUUCGGAUUGUAAAGCACUUUAAGUUGGGAGAAAGGGCAGUAAGUUAAUACCUUGCUGUUUUGACGUUACCAACAGAAUAAGCACCGGCUAACUUCGUG